UACGAAGGGGGCUAGCGUUGUUCGGAUUUACUGGGCGUAAAGCGCACGUAGGCGGAUUGUUAAGUUGGGGGUGAAAUCCUGGAGCUCAACUCCAGAACUGCCUUCAAUACUGGCAAUCUCGAGUCCGGAAGAGGUAAGUGGAACUCCUAGUGUAGAGGUGGAAUUCGUAGAUAUUAGGAAGAACACCAGUGGCGAAGGCGGCUCACUGGCCCGGUACUGACGCUGAGGCGCGAAAGCGUGGGGGAGCAAACAGGG
rnacentral:rRNA from 1 species